UACAGAGGGUGCGAGCGUUGUCCGGAAUCACUGGGCGUAAAGGGCGCGUAGGUGGCGCUCCAAGUCCGUGGUGAAAGCUCGAUGCUCAACAUCGAGUCGGCCACGGAGACUGGAGGGCUCGAGCACUGUAGGGGCGGAUGGAAUUCCGGGUGUAGCGGUGGAAUGCGUAGAGAUCCGGAAGAACACCGGUGGCGAAGGCGGUCUGCUGGGCAGUUGCUGACACUGAGGCGCGACAGCGUGGGGAGCAAACAGG
rnacentral:rRNA from 1 species